UGGGGAAUAUUGGACAAUGGGGGCAACCCUGAUCCAGCGACGCCGCGUGUGUGAAGAAGGCCUGCGGGUUGUAAAGCACUUUUAGUGGGGAUGAAAAGCCGAAGGCUAAUACCUUUCGGUCUUGACCUAACCCACAGAAAAAGCACCGGCUAACUCUGUGCCAGCAGCCGCGGUAAUACAGAGGGUGCAAGCGUUAAUCGGAAUUACUGGGCGUAAAGCGUGCGUAGACGGUUAUUUAAGUCAGGUGUGAAAGCCCAGGGCUCAACCUUGGAAUUGCAUUUGAGACUGAAUAGCUAGGGUGCGGAAGAGGGAAGCGGAAUUUCCGGUGUAGCGGUGAAAUGCGUAGAUAUCGGAAGGAACACCAGUGGCGAAAGCGGCUUCCUGGUCCAGCACCGACGUUCAGGCACGAAAGCGUGGGGAGCAAACAGGAUUAGAUACCCCUGUAGUCC
rnacentral:rRNA from 1 species